UAUGGCCAUAUCACAUUGAGACACCCAUUCUCAUAUGAUCACUCAAGUUAAGCAAUGUCAACCCUGGUCAGUACUUAGAUGGGUGACCCCUUAGGAAUACUAGGGGCU